UGUACUGUACGUGACACAAGCCU
rnacentral:piRNA from 1 species